rnacentral:rRNA from 1 species
GUGGGGAAUUUUGGACAAUGGUCGGAAGACUGACCCAGCCAUGCCGCGUGCAGGAAGACGGCCCUCUGGGUUGUAAACUGCUUUUAUCUGGGAAGAAAAAGGCCAUGCGUGGCAAAUUGCCGGUACCAGAUGAAUAAGCACCGGCUAACUCCGUGCCAGCAGCCGCGGUAAUACGGAGGGUGCGAGCGUUGUCCGGAUUUAUUGGGUUUAAAGGGUGCGUAGGCGGCUGAUUAAGUCAGCGGUGAAAGACUUCGGCUUAACCGGAGCAGUGCCGUUGAUACUGGUUGGCUUGAGUGUCGGAGGGGUACAUGGAAUUGAUGGUGUAGCGGUGAAAUGCAUAGAUACCAUCAGGAACACCGAUAGCGAAGGCAUUGUACUGGCCGACAACUGACGCUGAUGCACGAAAGUGUGGGGAUCGAACAGGAUUAGAAACCCCAGUAGUCC